rnacentral:lncRNA from 1 species
CUCCUCCUCCUUCUUCUUCUUCUUCUUCUUCUUCUUCUUCUUCUUCUUCUUCUUCUUCUUCUUCUUCUUCUUCUUCUUCUUCUUCUUCUUCUUCUUCUUCUUCUACUACUACUACUCUCUUCUACUACCACUUUGUAUUGCUAUUUGGAUUUGGAUGACCCAUGUGAUAUUUACUUUUUUUCUCCUAUUUGUGGCAUUUGCAAUGAUGAAUUUUUUCAAACUUUUAAAAAAUGCUGAGGCAAUGGCAUUUGCAAAGAUGACAAACUUUUUAUGCUGAGGCAGCGGCUAUGAUGAUGAAAUGUCCUCAUACUUCUGAGCCUCUAAACUAGGAUGGCUUGUAUACCACAUACAAGCAACCAGUUUAGAAGCGAUGUGAUGACAAUGGAACAAAUUUGAGCCAAUUAUUCUAUUUGAUACUAUUCUUAUACAAUAAUGUACUUAUAUAUAUACAUUAAUGAUUUAAAUUUUGUUGCCUUUUCUAAUUCAACUUAAGAAUAACUUUACUCUAUAAAUUUCAUUUGUUCAUUCCACUACGGCCUACUAGACUAACGAAAUCAUUGACACUUGUAGAUUCUAGCUUGGACAGCCUAUUUAAGAUGAUUCCUGAGAAAAAUAUCAAUUAUAUUGUUUAUAUGAUUCCUGUGAUGUCUGUCAAUUUGAGAUUUUUAUGCUGCCUAUGAUGCCAACGUACUUUUUGCUAAGCAAAUGCCACGGCCUGUGAUGCCUAAUUUUUUCUAAGAAAAAGCCACUGCCUAUCAUGCGAAAUUAUUUUGAAAUGGAGUUGAUUUGUAAAGGCCAAAGGACUUUGCCCUUCAGGAAUGAUUCGACUACUACUACUCUAUUCUACUACUACUGCUCCUCUCUUCUUCUUUUUAUUCUUCUUUUUCUUCUUCUUCUUCUUCUUCAUCUUCUUCUUCAUCUUCCUCUUCUUCUUCUUCUUCUUCUUCUCCUUCUUCUUCUUCUUCUUCUUCUCCUCCUCCUCCUCCUCCUCCUCCUCCUCCUCCUCCUUCUUCUUCUUCUUCUUCUUCUUCUUCUUCUUCUUCUACUCUCUUCUACUACCACUUUGUAUUGCUAUUUGGAUUUGGAUGACCCAUGUGAUAUUUACUCUUUUCCUCCUAUUUGUGGCAUUUGCAAUGAUGAAUUUUUUUCAAACUUCUAAAAAAUGCUGAGGCAAUGACAUUUGCAAUGAUGACAAACUUUUUAUGCUGAGGCAGCGGCUAUGAUGAUGAAAUGUCCUCAUACUUCUGAGCCUCUAAACUAGGAUGCCUUGUAUACCACAUACAAGCAACCAGUUUAGAAGCGAUGUGAUGACAAUGGGAUAAAUUUGAGCCAAUUAUUCUAUUUGAUACUAUUCUUAUACAAUAAUAUACUUAUAUAUAUAUAUACAUUAAUGAUUUAAAUUGUGUUGCCUUUUCUAAUCCAACUUAAGAAUAACUUUUCUCUACAAGUUUCAUUUGUUCAUUCUACUACGGCCUUCUAGAGUAGCGAAAUCAUUCACACUUGUAGAUUCUAGCUUAGACAACCUAUUUAAGAUGAUUCCUGUGAAAAAUAUCAAUUAUGUUGUUUAUAUGAUUCUUGUGAUGUCUGUCAUUUUGAGAUUUUUAUGCUGCCUAUGAUGCCAACGUACUUUUUGCUAAGCAAAUGCCGCUACCUGUGAUGCCUAAUUUUUUUCUAAGAAAAAGCCACUGCCAAUCAUGCGAAAUUAUUUUGAAAUGGAGUUGAUUUGUAAAGGCCAAAGGACUUUGCCCUUCAGGAAUGAUUCGACUACUACUACUACUCUAUUCUACUACUACUGCUCCUCUAUUCUUCUUCUUCUUCUUCUUCUUCUUCUUCUUCUUCUUCUUCCUCUACGUUUUCUCCUUCUUCUCCUUCUUCUUCUUCUUCUCCUUCUACUACUUCUUCUUCUUCUUCUCCUUCUUCCUCUUCUUCUCCUUCUUCUCCUGCUUCUUCUUCUCCUUCUUCUUCUUCUUCUUCUCCUCCUCCUCCUCCUCCUCCUCCUCCUCCUCCUCCUUCUUCUUCUUCUUCUUCUUCUUCUUCUUCUUCUUCUUCUUCUUCUUCUUCCUCUUCUCCUUCUUCUCCUUCUUCUCCUGCUUCUUCUUCUUCUUCUUCUUCUUCUUCUACACUCUUCUACUACCACUUUGUAUUGCUAUUUGGAUUUGGAUGACUCAUGUGAUAUUUACUUUUUUUCUCCAAUUUGUGGCAUUUGCAAUGAUGAAUUUUUUCAAACUUCUAAAAAAUGCUGAGGCAAUGGCAUUUGCAAUGAUGACAAACUUUUUAUGCUGAGGCAGCGGCUAUGAUGAUGAAAUGUUCUCAUACUUCUGAGCCUCUAAACUAGGAUGGCUUGUAUACCACAUACAAGCAACCAGUUUAGAAGCGAUGUGAUGACAAUGGGACAAAUUUGAGCCAAUUAUUCUAUUUGAUACUAUUCUUAUACAAUAAUGUACUUAUAUAUAUACAUUAAUGAUUUAAAUUUUGUUGCCUUUUCUAAUUCAACUUAAGAAUAACUUUACUCUAUAAAUUUCAUUUGUUCAUUCCACUACGGCCUACUAGACUAGCGAAAUCAUUCACACUUGUAGAUUCUAGCUUGGACAACCUAUUUAAGAUGAUUCCUGAGAAAAAUAUCAAUUAUAUUGUUUAUAUGAUUCCUGUGAUGCCUGUCAAUUUGAGAUUUUUAUGCUGCCUAUGAUGCCAACGUAUUUUUUGCUAAGCAAAUGCCACUACCUGUGAUGCCUAAUUUUUUUCUAAGAAAAAGCCACUGCCAAUCAUGCGAAAUUAUUUUGAAAUGGAGUUGAUUUGUAAAGGCCAAAGGACUUUGCCCUUCAGGAAUGAUUUGACGACUACUACUACUACUCUAUUCUACUACUACUACUGCUCCUCUCUUCUUCUUCUUCUUCUUCUUCUUCUUCUUCUUCUUCUUCUUCUUCUUCUUCUUCUUCUUCUUCUUAUUCUCCUCCUCCUGUCCUUCUUCUACUUCUUUCUCUUCCUCUUCUUCUUCUUCUUCUUCUUCUUCUUCUUCUUCUUCUUCUUCUUCUUCUGCUUCUUCUUCUUCCUCCUCCUCUUCUUCUUCAUCAUCUUCUUCUUCUUCUUCUUCUUCUUCUUCUUCUUCUUCUUCUUCUUCUUCUUCUUCUUCUUCUUCUUCUUCUUCUGCUUCUUCAUCUUCCUCCUCCUCCUCCUCCUCUUCUUCUUCAACUCUCUUCUACUACUACUUUGUACUGAUAUUUGGAUUUGGAUGACCCAUGCGAUAUUUGCUUCUUUUCACCUAUUUGUGGCAUUUGCAAUGAUGAAUAUUUUUAAAUUUCUAAAAAAUGCUGAGGCAAUGGCAUUUGCAAUGAUGACAAACUUUUUAUGCUGAGGCAGCGGCUAUGAUGAUGAAAUUUCCUCAUACUUCUGAGCUUCUAAACUAGGAUGGCUCGUAUACCACGUACAAGCAACCAGUUUAGAAGCGAUGUGAUGAGAAUGGGACAAAUUUGAGCCAAUUAUUCCAUUUGAUACUAUUCUUAUACAAUAAUGUACUUUUACAUAUAUAUAUAUAUACAUUAUGAUUUAAAUUGUGUUGCCUUUUCUAAUCCAACAUAAGAAUAACUUCUCUAUAAAUUUUAUUUGUUCAUUCUACUACGGCCUUUUAGAGUAGCGAAAUCAUUCACACUUGUAUAUUCUAGCUUGGACAGCAUAUUUAAGAUAAUUUCUGUGAAAAAUAUCAAUUAUAUUGUUUAUAUGAUUCCUGUGAUGUCUUUCAAUUUGAUAUUUUUAUGCUGCCUAUGAUGCCAACAUACUUUUUGCUAAGCAAAUGCCACUACCUGUGAUGCCUAAUUUUUUUCUAAGAAAAAGCCACUACCUAUCAUGCGAAAUUAUUUUGAAAUGGAGUUGAUUUGUAAAGGCCAACGGACUUUGCCCUUCGGGAAUGAUUCGACUACUACUACUCUAUUCUACUACUACUCUAUUCUACUACUACUACUACUCCUCUCUUCUUCUUCUUCUUCUUCUUCUUCUUCUUCUUCUUCUUCUUCUUCUUCUUCUUCUUUCUUUCUUUCUUUCUUUCUUUCUUUCUUUCUUCUUCUUCUUCUUCUUCUUCUUCUUCUUCUUCUUCUCCUUCUUCUUGCCUUCUUCUUGCUCUUCUUCUUCUUCUUCUUCUUCUUCUUCUUCUUCUUCUUCUUCUUCUUCUUCUUCUUCUUCUUCCUCUACUUCUUCUUCUUCUUCGUCUCCUUCUUCUUCUUCUUCUUCUUCUUCUUCUUCUUCUUCUUCUUCUCCUUCUUCUUCUUCUUUCUUCUUCUUCUUCUUCUUCUUCUUCUUCUUCUUCUCUCUUCUACUACUACUUUGUACUGCUAUUGGAUUUGGAUGACCCAUGUGAUAUUUGCUUUUUUUUCUCCUAUUUGUGGCAUUUGCAAUGAUGAAUUUUUUCAAACUUCUAAAAAAUGCUGAGGCAAUGACAUCUGCAAUGAUGACAAACUUUUUAAGCUGAGGCAGCAGCUAUGAUGAUGAAAUAUCCUCAUACUUCUGAGCCUCUAAACUAGGAUGACUUGUAUACCACAUACAAGCAACCAGUUUAGAAGCGAUGUGAUGACAAUGGGACAAAUUUGAGCCAAUUAUUCCAUUUGAUAUGAUUCUUAUACAAUAAUGUACUUUUACAUAUAUAUAUAUAUAUAUAUACAUUAAUAAUUUAAAUUGUGUUGCCUUUUCUAAUCCAACUUAAGAAUAACUUUUCGCUAUAAAUUUUAUUUGUUCAUUCUACUAUGGCCUUCUAGAGUAGCGAAAUCAUUCACACUUGUAGAUUCUAGCUUGGACAGCCUAUUUAAGAUGAUUCCUGUGAAAAAUAUCAAUUAUAUUGUUUAUAUGAUUCCUGUGAUGCCUAUCAAUUUGAGAUUUUUAUGCUGCCUAUGAUGCCAACGUAUUUUUUGCUAAGCAAAUGCCACUACCUGUGAUGCCUAAUUUUUUUCUAAGAAAAAGCCACUGCCAAUCAUGCGAAACUAUUUUGAAAUGGAGUUGAUUUGUAAAGGCCAAUGAACUUUGCCAUUCAGGAAUGAUUCGACUACUACUACUACUCUAUUUUACUACUACUGCUGCUCCUCUCUUCUUUCUCUUCUUCUUCUUUCUUCUUCUUCUCUCCUUCUUCUUCCUCUUCUUCUUCCUCUUCUUCUUCUUCCUCUACUUCUUCGUCUUCUUCUUCUCCUUCUCCUUCUCCUUCUCCUUCUCCUUCUCCUUCUCCUUCUCCUUCUCCUUCUCCUUCUCCUUCUCCUUCUUCUUCUUCUUCUUCUUCUUCUUCUUCUUCUUCUUCUUCUUCCUCCUCCUCCUCUUCUUCUUCUUCUUCUUCUUCUUCUACUCUCUUCUACUACUACUUUGUACUGCUAUUUGGAUUUGGAUGACUCAUGUGAUAUUUGUUUUUUUUCUCCUAUUUGUGGCCUUUGCAAUGAUGAAUUUUUUCAAACUUCUAAAAAAUGCUGAGGCAAUGGCAUUUGCAAUGAUGACAAACUUUUUAUGCUGAGGCAGCGGCUACGAUGAUGAAAUGUCCUCAUACUUCUGAGCCUCUAAACUAGGAUGGGUUGUAUACCACAUACAAGCAACCAGUUUAGAAGCAAUGUGAUGACAAUGGGACAAAUUUGAGCCAAUUAUUCCUUUUGAUACUAUUCUUAUAAAAUAAUGUACUUUUACAUAUACAUAGAAGAAGAAGAAGAAGAAGAAGAAGAAGAAGAAGAAGAAGAAGAAGAAGAGAGGAGUAGUAGUAGUAGUAGUAGUAGAAUAGAGUAGUAGUAGUAGUCGAAUCAUUCCCGAAGGGCAAAGUCCGUUGGCCUUUACAAAUCAACUCCAUUUCAAAAUAAUUUCGCAUGAUAGGUAGUGGCU